rnacentral:rRNA from 1 species
GCAAGGUUAACCGUAUAGGGGAGCCGGAGGGAAACCGAGUCUUAACCGGGCGUUAAGUUGCAGGGUAUAGACCCGAAACCCGGUGAUCUAGCCAUGGGCAGGUUGAAGGUUGGGUAACACUAACUGGAGGACCGAACCGACUAAUGUUGAAAAAUUAGCGGAUGACCUGUGGCUGGGGGUGAAAGGCCAAUCAAACCGGGAGAUAGCUGGUUCUCCCCGAAAGCUAUUUAGGUAGCGCCUCGUGAAUUCAUCUCCGGGGGUAGAGCACUGUUUCGGCUAGGGGGCCAUCCCGGCUUACCAACCCGAUGCAAACUGCGAAUACCGGAGAAUGUUAUCACGGGAGACACACGGCGGGUGCUAACGUCCGUCGUGAAGAGGGAAACAACCCAGACCGCCAGCUAAGGUCCCAAAGUCAUGGUUAAGUGGGAAACGAUGUGGGAAGGCCCAGACAGCCAGGAUGUUGGCUUAGAAGCAGCCAUCAUUUAAAGAAAGCGUAAUAGCUCACUGGUCGAGUCGGCCUGCGCGGAAGAUGUAACGGGGCUAAACCAUGCACCGAAGCUGCGGCAGCGACACUCAGGUGUUGUUGGGUAGGGGAGCGUUCUGUAAGCCUGCGAAGGUGUGUCGUGAGGCAUGCUGGAGGUAUCAGAAGUGCGAAUGCUGACAUAAGUAACGAUAAAGCGGGUGAAAAGCCCGCUCGCCGGAAGACCAAGGGUUCCUGUCCAACGUUAAUCGGGGCAGGGUGAGUCGACCCCUAAGGCGAGGCCGAAAGGCGUAGUCGAUGGGAAACGGGUUAAUAUUCCCGUACUUGGUGUUACUGCGAAGGGGGGACGGAGAAGGCUAUGUUGGCCGGGCGACGGUUGUCCCGGUUUAAGCGUGUAGGUGUGUGUUCCAGGUAAAUCCGGUU